AAAGCCAAGCUGGGUUUUGCAUCUGG
rnacentral:piRNA from 1 species